rnacentral:rRNA from 1 species
GAUGAACGCUGGCGGCGUGCCUAAUACAUGCAAGUCGAGCGAACAGACGAGGAGCUUGCUCCCCUGACGUUAGCGGCGGACGGGUGAGUAACACGUGGAUAACCUACCUAUAAGACUGGGAUAACUUCGGGAAACCGGAGCUAAUACCGGAUAAUAUAUUGAACCGCAUGGUUCAAUAGUGAAAGACGGUUUUGCUGUCACUUAUAGAUGGAUCCGCGCCGCAUUAGCUAGUUGGUAAGGUAACGGCUUACCAAGGCAACGAUGCGUAGCCGACCUGAGAGGGUGAUCGGCCACACUGGAACUGAGACACGGUCCAGACUCCUACGGGAGGCAGCAGUAGGGAAUCUUCCGCAAAGGGCGAAAGCCUGACGGAGCAACGCCGCGUGAGUGAUGAAGGUCUUCGGAUCGUAAAACUCUGUUAUUAGGGAAGAACAAAUGUGUAAGUAACUAUGCACGUCUUGACGGUACCUAAUCAGAAAGCCACGGCUAACUACGUG